rnacentral:rRNA from 1 species
UACGUAGGGUGCAAGCGUUAAUCGGAAUUACUGGGCGUAAAGCGUGCGCAGGCGGUUUUGUAAGACAGGGGUGAAAUCCCAGGGCUUAACCUUGGAACUGCAUUUGUGACUGCAUAGCUAGAGUACGGUAGAGGGGGAUGGAAUUCCGCGUGUAGCAGUGAAAUGCGUAGAUAUGCGGAGGAACACCGAUGGCGAAGGCGAUCCCCUGGACCUGUACUGACGCUCAUGCACGAAAGCGUGGGGAGCAAACAGG